CGCCACGGCCCCACUCCCCGUCGCCCCCGGGUCGCCGCUCGCUGUCCCCUGCGGCCGAGGCCGCUGGGACUUUCUCAGUGCUGAUUUCGGAUCCAUCGCGUCUCCCAGUGUCUCUGUGGGAGACACUGUGGGCAUGACCCCCUGAAACACACAUACGCACACGCGUCUCGUCCCUGCUGCAGACCCGGCAGCUAUGGGAACCCCCGGUUUUCGGUGGGCUGCACGUUGACCAGCACAGGCUUCACGGAAAACCGCCCACCUGGCGUUUGGACCCCAAUCCACAAGGAGAGCGGUCUGGGUCUCUGGGUCAAUGUUUCAUUCAGAGAAGAUGAUUAAACUGCUGCAUCAAGGUCAAGGCCUAUGACCGAGUCGGGAACUGCAAGACAAGGGAUGUUAAGACUGUAACAUGUAGCUGACAGCCAGGCCUGGCCUCUAGAACAUCAUCAGGGCUUUUCAUCAAGACUCCAGGAGAAAAUAAAUGCACAUAUCAUCUGUGCCCUUGGCAUGGGCAGCAAGGGUGACCUUGAUUUUCAGGUGUGCACAGCUACCUUUGACCUUCAAGUCCCACUGGAGAGGCAUAGGCAUGAUCCCAACGAAAAGGAAGCUGCCUGAGUCAGCCCCCAGCGACCUUGCAUAGUCCACCAUUGUCCUUGUGUCUUAGCACUUCAGUCUGCAAUCAAUCAAUGCCCAUUUGGUGCUCAGCAAAUCCCACAGAGAUGUUCAGUUCAAGGACUCUGGACGGACGUGCAGGACGGAUCUCAAGGACAUGGUGGUAUUUGACAACUCUCCUUAUGCCAAUGUGGAUCAAAAGAUAUUUUGUACAAUGUUCCUAAAUAUAACUCCUAAGAAUUGCAUGAGGUCUUGGAAGAGAAUGGGGGGAGAGAGAAGCCUUCCAAGUGGGACUCCCGGUGGCUUACACAAGCUUCCUCUGCCUCAGCACCACACACAGGGCCAACAGCACCACUGUGCUGAAAGCCUUGCUUUGCCUUUUCUGUCCCCACUUAUUGUAGCUUUUGACCUUCUAGGUCAAAGAGCAAAGUGUAAUUACAAAGUUCAUUGUCCACUA